rnacentral:lncRNA from 1 species
GGUAAAUCAGAGCAAGUCUGAUUAAAUGGAUCUGUAGCACCAUGUCCUCUUUUCUUAAGCAAGCCAAGCUCCCAAAAUGUAAAUACAUUAAAUGUCACUCUCAUUAAAUACACAUCAUGGAACUGCUGAGGAAGAUUAAGGAAGUGCAGUAAUCUUCAUCUUACUCUGAAUAACUGCUAAUGGUCAAUGUGACCUGGACUCAAAUUUUUAUUGAAGAAGGAAUUCAGUUCUUCAGAAGAAAAAAAUGCUCUCCAUCUUCAUAGCAAAGUGAUAAGGAAUCAGAAAGAACAAUGCUGAAAUACAUAUGAUAAGAGGUCAUCCUGGAAAAGUGAGAAAGAGUGUGCAAAAAAUAACUACACCCAGAUGAAUGCAUAAAGCAUAGAAGAAGCACAAAGAAUAUAUUAGUAUAUGGAUUCUGCCUUUUUUAAAAGGAAAUAAAAUCUCAG